GACGAACGCUGGCGGCGUGCUUAACACAUGCAAGUCGAACGGUGAAGCGCCUUCCUUUUUGGUGGGUGUGGAUGAGUGGCGAACGGGUGAGUAACACGUGAGUAACCUGCCCCCUUCUUCUGGAUAACCGCAUGAAAGUGUGGCUAAUACGGGAUAUUCUGGGUCUGUCGCAUGAUGGGUCUGGGAAAGAUAUUGUUUCGGUGGGGGAUGGGCUCGCGGCCUAUCAGCUUGUUGGUGGGGUGAUGGCCUACCAAGGCGGUGACGGGUAGCCGGCCUGAGAGGGUGGACGGUCACACUGGGACUGAGACACGGCCCAGACUCCUACGGGAGGCAGCAGUGGGGAAUAUUGCACAAUGGGCGCAAGCCUGAUGCAGCGACGCCGCGUGAGGGAUGGAGGCCUUCGGGUUGUGAACCUCUUUCGCCAGUGAAGCAGGCUUGCCUCGUUUGUGGGUGGGUUGACGGUAGCUGGAUAAGAAGCGCCGGCUAACUACGUG
rnacentral:rRNA from 1 species